GCGUCCUUGGUAUAGGGGUUGUGCCCUUGUCUGCCAGGCAAGAGAGAUGGGUUCGAAACCCAUAGGACGCU
rnacentral:tRNA from 1 species